rnacentral:lncRNA from 1 species
ACCAUCUUCUAGACCCCCAACUCCACUCUUCCAUAGCAUGUUGACCCAAAAAAUUCGUACUGGGAUCAUCAAAAGCGCAUUAUCUGUGAAAUCACUAACUAAUUAGCAAUUAAAUAAAACCAUAGAACCGAUCAAUCAACAUAAUACAGCUUAAGAAACCAUCAAAUCGCAAGAAAUAGAAGAAAAAACAAAAUCGCUAAAAGCAAGCCCCAGAAUUAAAACUAACAAAAUAGGAAGAAAAAAAAAACAAAGCUUUGGUAAACAAGUAAUCAAGCAAAGACAAUAAAGCUAGUGGUUAACAGUUAAGACCCGUUUGGUAACUGAGAAAAUGAAGUAAAGGUCCAAAUUUUCCAACGAAAUUUAUUUUCUUUCGCAUCAUAGAAACAUGCUAUUAAGUAAAAGGGAAAAAUCCAUAAAAAAAAGAAAAAAGAAAAUAAACAAAUGAAAGGAUUGAAAACAAAAAUGAAGGAAAAAAAAAACCUGAGGAAGUUUGAGAGAGGUUGUAGGGAGGUUUGCCAUCGGAUCUCUCCAUACUUUACAAAACCAACCUAAAAAGAAAACCCUAGAUACAGCAGCAGCAGAAGAAGAAGAAGAAAAAUAAAAGUUCGAAAAAUAAAGAUAGGGUUUGCGGGAUUUUUUCAAUGAAGUUGGAGGCAUACGGGUAGGAAGAGCGGCAAGUUGUGUAAAUUAAGGGGGAUUAGGAGGGUUUUUACUUAGGCUAGGGAAGGUAGAAGAUAGAAGGAAAUCUCUCUCAGAGAGAGACGGAGAGAGGGAGAGAGAUCGAAGAAAUGGGGAAGAAAGGGGGCAUUGUUUGGUUUUGGGGUUUUUUUUUUUUAAUUAAAAAAGGAUGUGGGAUUUGAUUAAUUUUGUGUGUUUUUGAGUGCACGCCGAGAUUGAGGAGAGACACAUGUGCACGCUGAGAAAAUGACGGUGAUGACUGAUGAGACAGAUAGAAACCAUUAAUAUAUAAAAACAAAAAAAGAAAUACGAAGCAUAUUACAAAAGUAAAGCUUCAUCCCCCACAGUUAUAUUCUUU